rnacentral:rRNA from 1 species
AUUGAACGCUGGCGGCAGGCCUAACACAUGCAAGUCGAGCGAGCGGCGGACGGGUGAGUAAUGCCUAGGAAUCUGCCUGGUAGUGGGGGAUAACUACUGGAAACGGUAGCUAAUACCGCAUACUAUCGGAUGUGCCUAGGUGGAAUUAGCUUGUUGGUGCGGUAACGGCUCACCUAGGCGACGAUCCCUAGCGGGUCUGAGAGGAGGACCAGCCACACUGGAACUGAGACACGGUCCAGACUCCUACGGGAGGCAGCAGUGGGGAAUAUUGGACAAUGGGCGAAAGCCUGAUCCAGCCAUGCCGCGUGAGUGAAGAAGGCCUUCGGAUUGUAAAGUACUGUCAGCGGGGAGGCGUUACCCAAAGAAGAAGCACCGGCUAACUCCGUGCCAGCAGCCGCGGUAAUAC